rnacentral:rRNA from 1 species
UACGGAGGGGGCUAGCGUUGUUCGGAAUUACUGGGCGUAAAGCGUACGUAGGCGGCUUUGUAAGUUAGAGGUGAAAGCCCGGGGCUCAACCCCGGAAUUGCCUUUAAGACUGCAUCGCUUGAACGUCGGAGAGGUGAGUGGAAUUCCGAGUGUAGAGGUGAAAUUCGUAGAUAUUCGGAAGAACACCAGUGGCGAAGGCGGCUUCCUGGACCGACACUGACGCUGAGGCGCGAAAGCUAGGGGAGCAAACGGG